UUUGCUUGUAAAAUAACUGGCUUUCAUAUGAUUAAAGUUAACAACUCUGGUGUGACCUCAUAUUUACUAUACUUCUGCCAAAUGCCAGGUGAGCCUAUAGACUGUCUUGUUCAUUACACAUAGCAACACUGUGAGCUAAAUAUCAUUAUUCCCACUUUCUACAUAAGGUAUUGAAUACUUGGAGAAUUGCAGGGUUUGUCCAAGGGCCCAGAACUAAUUUGUGUCAAAUCUAAAAUUUGAACCCAGUUUAAAUUCUUCAUACCCAUUACAUAGUACCUUUCUAAUCAAGAGAUGAAAGAUAUAAACAAAUAAUGACUGUUAUUCUACAGUGUGACCUUUGGGGGAAAAACUCACAACCACAGGAUUCCCACGGUUAAUUGAGUGGGAAUUUUCUGUGAAGCCUUAAUUAACCUUUUGUGUAUGGGUAUCAAAAGUCAACUGAAAUGGAACUAUAGUCAUUUUCAGUUUCCAUUGUUCUGGUACCAGUCCCCCAAAACUAGAAUGUUUUCUCUAGGGAUAUAUAGAAGGUAAGUUAUGGAAACCUUUCUUCAGAGCCCUAGACAUCACUGGUCCUAGCUCAGGCUGCUCUCUUUCACACCUGAACUCACUUUGGGGGACAGAACCCAUUUUCAGAAGCAGUAACAUGUUAGUAGCAGAAGCAGAAACUAUAAUGGCAUUGAAGUCAUCCCAGAGAAAAUGUGCUCAGCAGCUUUCUGGUAGCAUGCAAAUGCAGUACCUCAAUUCUUUAUUUCUAUGCCUUGCUGGGAAUGUAACUGAGCAGGGCACAAAAGCCUUUCUGUGUGCUUCAUUUCUUGUUUUUAGGAAAUGGGCCUCAUUCAUCCUUCAUGAAAUUCCCUGAGUUCCUAGAAGGAAGGGAGAAGCAAAGACAAGGGGGGAACAGUCAAGAAAGAGCAGUGCAGGCUUGGGAGCAGGAUCCUGGUUCCCUCUCAAGGAAUACACAUAAUGAUAUAGGCAUCUUACGCCUAAUAGAAAAGUUAUACCUCAGAGAAAAUUUAUAUUCCUUAUGCUUCUUUAGAAAUGAAUACUUUAAAAUUAGAACCCCUCCUUGUCCUUCUCCCUGACUUAAUUGCACCCUGAACACAGUCACCUAAUAAGCUGAAGAUUGGGUACCCUGAGCACAAUUGGCUGUGGGUUAAAGAUUAUUAGCACAUGAUGUUUUUGAGGAACUUUCCUAGUUUGUUCUAAUCUCUGAUCAAUAUGCCCUUUUCACAAGUGCUGUUAUUCUAAGCAAUGACCCAGAAGAACACCAUUGUGAUCAUUCGAGGCCUCCUGAUGUCAGCUUUGAUGACUGAUUCCCCCAUCCCCCAUGCAAAGAAAGAAUGCAUGUCUGCCCCAAUCCUCAUUCCUCUCUGAAAACCUGUUUGUUUGUUUGUUUGUUUGUUUGUUUUUUUGCUUUUUACUAUAAAACUCCCUGCAAUUCUUCCCAAUGGGUAGCACAGUCUUUAAGGCAUUAGCCUGCUCUGUCCCCCUUUGCUUGGCAAAGCAAUAAAGCUAUAUUUCUCUCCUUCACCGCAAACUCUGUAUCCAUGUCUCUAUUUGGCACUGGUAGACAGAGGCCAAAUUUUGGCAACAGGAACACUACAGGAUAUUAUGAAUAUGGGAGAACCAGUAUCAGUAGUAAAGACCUAUAGAUACAGGAGCUGCUUAUGAACAUCAGAAGUCAAAAUAAAAUGAAGGAUUAAAACUGACAAUCAUUUCCCAGUGAUUUAAACUACUACUUUGUAUUACUACAGUUUUUGUUUACUGAAUCUUCUUGUAAGCAUUUGCAUUCAUUUUUUAGUGUUCAGAUUGCCAUAUUGGCCACAAUUUUUCUUCAUCCUGCUCAUAACUUGAUUAUUAAAAGCCUAUUUUUAAAAUUAUUAAAGUAUAGUUGAUUUAUAAUGUUUCAUCAAGUUCUGUUGUACCACUAAGUGACCCAAUCACACACAUUUCCCUGUGCUGUACAGUAGGGUCCCAUUGCCCAUCCAUUGCAAAUAUAACAGUUUGCACCCAAAAAAUGCCCCAAAUGUCCAUCCAUCCUACUCCCUCCCCUUUCCUCCUUGGGAACCCCAAGUCUGAUCUCUUUGGCCAUGACUGUUUCUGUUUGUUGGUUUAUUUAGAUAGGAUCAUCUCUUCCAUAUUUUACAAAUAAUGAUAUCAUAUGGUAUUUGUCUUUUUCUUUCUGGCUUACUUCAUUUAGCAUGAGAGUCUCCAGAUCCAUCCAUGUUGUUGCAAAUGGCAUUAGUUUGUCUUUUUUAUGGCUGAGUAAUAUUCCACUGUAUAUAUGUACCACAUCUUCUUAAUCCAUUCAUCUAUCAAUGGACAUUUAGGUUGUUUCCACAUCUUGGCUACUGUAAAUAGUGCUGCUAUGAACAUUGGGGUGCAUGUAUCUUUUUAAAUGAAAGUUUUGUCUGGAUAUAUGCCCAAGAGUGGGAUUUCUGGGUCAUAUGCUAGUUCUAUAUUUAGUUUUUUGAGGUACCUCCAUACUGUUUUCCAUAGUGGUUGUACCAAUUUACAUUCCCACCAAUGUAAAUAGAGGAUAUUACAAGCCUAAUAACCACAUGGUGAUAUACUGACCAUUUCAAGAAGCUAUCUGCAGUGCCUCAAAGUGGCAAAUUCUGACAAAUUUCAUUUUUGUCAUCAUUUUAGUUUAUUCCAUAAAAUUGAGGGUUUCUGAAUCCCUGCCCAAGGGACUAAAAAAAAGUGUGGAUAAUUUUGGUUUUGCUUGGUGAGAGGGAUGGGAGGAAGCGGGAUUUAAUUGCAUGCCUCUGUGCAUAUCAUAUGAUAAAUUAAUGCAUUUUAACCAAGCCAAAUAGAUCCUAGACAUUGGAUGCACCAAAUUUUGUGAAACUUGUAAACAUUUUACUGUCUAUAGAUUAAAAAGCCAAAUACCAUUGAAACUUCCUGGGCCCUUUAGCAUUAACAUUCCUGCCACUGAGACUCUGUCAGACAAAAUUCUAAUUCAUAGGCUGGAAAACAAUAAAAAUCCAAUACUAAAUACCUAGAAGUUGUCCCUAAAUUGUACUUAUCUCCAAAAUGAUUCCUAAAUUUUUUUUGUACAUCACUUCAGAAAACAUGCCUAUCCUUACAGUUCAGUCACCCCUCUCUCCACCACACACACUCACUGGGUAUUUGAGAUCUCUCCCAGAUCCAUGAACCAUGUCCACAGGGGCUGGGGGUGGGGGGUCUUGGGAGUCUUCUAUUUCUAGCUCUGACUACUUGCUUAAUUCUCAGUCUUGGACCUGCAACUGCUUGCUGAGUAUUAUGUUCAACAUGUAUUUACCAUACCCACUGUAUGCAAAGUACUUUAUAAAAAGGAGAGUCAACAAAUAGAAAACUGUGGGGUAGACAAUAUCUUUGUUUCAUAGGAGGAAUAGCAAGGCACAGGUUAUUAAUAAAAAACAAAUUUAAAUAGGUAGGAAAAACAAAACAAUAAAAAUUGUAUAUCCUAAAUGCAACCAUGUAUUAACUUGAAGUCAGAAACCUCCUUCUAUCACUGAUUGUCAGGAUUCAAUACUUUGAAGUUGAAAUGCUUUAUGGGUUGACUUGAAAUAACUCUUCUUUUCCUCUCCCAUAGACAGUAUUUUAGAAAUUUAGAUUUUUUUUUUUUUAAAUCUGACUACAUCCAAUGUGGUACUGUGUUAGCUUUUGUGAUGAGAACACAAUCCCAAGGAUGUGGGGGAAUUUGUUAUUUCUUUUUUUAUAAUGAUUUUUAUUUUUUCUAUUAUAGUUUGUUUAUAGUAUUCUGCCAAUUUUCUACUGUACAGCAAAGUGACCCAGUCACACACACAUAUAUACAUUAUUUUUCUCAUAUUAUCCUCCAUCAUGUUGCAUCACAAGUGACUAGAUAUAGUUCCCUGUGCUAUACUGGAGGACCUCAUUGCUUAUCCAUUCCAAAUGCAACAGUUUGCAUCUACUAACCACAGACUCCCAGUCCAUCCCACUCCCUGCUCCUCUCCCUUGGCAAUCACAAGUCUGUUCUCCAAGUUCAUGUGUUUCUUUUCUGUGCAAAGGCUCUUUUGUGCCAUAUAUCAGAUUCCAGAUAUAAGUGAUAUCACUUCAGUAUUUUUCUUUCUCUUUCUUCACUUAGUAUGAGAGUCUCUAGUUCCAUCCAUAUUGCUGCAAAUGGCAUUAUUUUGUUCUUUUAUAUGUCUGAGUAGUAUUCCAUUAUGUAUCUAUCCACAUCUUCUUAAUUCAUUCAUCUGUCAAUGGACAUUUAGGUUGUUUCUAUGUCUUGGCUAUUGUGAAUAGUGCUGCAAUGAACAUACGUACGCAUGUGUCUUUUUCAAGGAAAGUUUUGUCUGGAUAUAGGCCCAAGAGUGGGAUUGUUGGGUCAUAUGGUAGUUCUAUGGUACCACCAUAUGGGUGCAUGAGUCUCUUUCAAGGAAUGUUUCAUCGGGAUAUAUGCCCAAGAGUGGGAUUGCUAGGUCAUACGGUAGUUCUAUAUUUAGUUUUCUGAGGUGCCCCCAUACUGUUUUCCCUAGCGGUUGUACCAAUUUACAUUUCCACUAACAGUGCAGGAGGGUUCUCUUUUCUCCACAUCUUCUCAAGCAUUUGUUAUUUGUGGACUUAUUAAUGAUGGCCAAUCUUACUGGUGUGAGGUGGUACCUCAUGGUAGUUUUGAUUUGCAUUUCUCUAAUAAUCAGUGAUGUUGAGCAUUUUUCAUGUGCUUAUUGGCCAUCUGUAUAUCUUCUUUGGAGAAACGUCUAUUCAGGACUUUUGCCCAUUUUUCCAUUGCUUUUUUUGCUGUUGGGUUGUAUAAGUUGUUUGUAUAUUUUAGAGAUUAAGCCCUUGUCAGUUGCAUUGUUUGAAACUAUUUUCUCCCAUUCCAUAGGUUGUCAUUCUGGUUUUUUUUGUUUUUGUUUUUGUUUUUUUUUAUGGUUUCUUUGCUGUGCAAAAGCUUGUCCAUUUGAUUAGGUCCCAUUGGUUUAUUUUUGCUUUUAUUUCUGUUGCCUUGGGAGACUGACCUAAGAAAACAUUUGUACGGUUGAUGUCAAAGAAUGUUUUGCCCAUGUUCUCUUCUAGGAGUUUAAUGGUGUCUUGCCUUACAUUUAAGCCUUUAAGUCAUUUUGAGUUUAUUUUUGUGCAUGGUGUGAGAGUGCGUUCCAAUUUCAUUGAUUUACAUGUGGCUGUCCAGUUUUCCCAGCACUACUUACUGAAAAGACUUUUUCCCAUUUUAUAUUCUAGCCUCCUUUGUCAAAGAUUAACUGACCUGGGUUGUUAUUUCUUACGAAUGGGCCUCUUGGGACACAAACUUCCAAGGCAGCAUCAAACCACAGACACUAGGAUAGAGGUGACAAGCCAAAAGGUGUAGGCUACAUGAGGGGGCAGAUGCUGCUUAACAGGUUUUUUAAAACUGCAAUGAGAGAAUCUUUAUUUUUAGAUUAAUCUGUCUGCAUUCUGAAAACUCAUUGUGACUAAAAUCAAGAGCGUUACACUGCUAGGCUGUUUUUUAAUAGAAACAUAAUAACCACAUUAAGAAAAGUAUCUAUGCUAUAUUACUUUCCUUCUGAUACUAAACCAUGUUAGAGCAAAGUAUACUUUACUGACUUAAAAUAAUACCAAUUUAUUUUCUUACAGUUCUGGAGGUCAGAAGUCCAAAAUCAAGAUGUCAUCAAGGCUGCAUUCCUUCUGGAGGUUCCAGAGGGGAAUUAGUUUUCUUGCCUUUUCUAGCUUCUAGAGACCACUUGCACUCCUUGGCUCAUGGCCCUUUCUCUACCUUCAAGGCCAGCAGCAUAGCAUUUUCCAAUCUCUCGUUCUCUGACUGUGACACCUGUUUCUCUCAAUACGUAUUCUUUUCUGAUGAUGGCCCUCCUGCCUUCCUCUCAUGAGGACCUUGUUACUACAUUGGGCCCACCUUGAUAAGCUUCCCAUCUCCAUCUCCUUAAUUAUAGCUGCAACAUUCCUUUUGCCAUUUAAAGUAACAUAUUUACAAUUCCUCGGGAUUAGGAUGUGGACAGCUUUUUUUUUGGAGGGGGUGUCAUUAUCUGGCUUCCCACAUAUGCCAUUUAUUUCAUUCUGGUCAAAAAACACUUUGGAGUAGUGUUUCCAAAACUGGCAUAACAUUUUCAGUAAGAAAUUGAUAAAUGAUAUUACAUAGAAGAUAAAAAUCAUGAAUCAUUCAUUCACUCAGCAAACAUUUGUGAAGUGUUCAUUCAUGCCAGGUACUGGGCAAGAAGAACUCUGGGGACUCAUAGAGCAUGUGAGGCUGUAGAGUGUAGUGCUUUUGAGCCAGGACCCUGGAGUCUAAUCAUCUGGUUUUGAAUCCUUGCCUCACCAUUUAUAUACUGUGUGACCUACACAAAUUACUUAAUCUCUCUGUGCUUCAGUUUUGCCACUUAUGAAACUGAGAUAAAACUAUAACUGUCCCCCACAGGGUUCUUGUGAAGAUUAAGUGAGACUCUUGAUAAUGCCUUUGGUACAAUGACUGGCAUGUAGAAUUCAGUAUGCUGGCACUGAGGAGGAACGAGAAAACAAUAGUGGAGUGUAAGAGUGCAAAAGGGCCACAGGGAAUUUGGAAAGGCUUCCAGAGCAGGGUCUCGAAAGUUGAGUUUCUGGGAAUCACUGAGGAGAAAGAAGGGAUAGGCAGUGAGAAGCCAUAGUACAGAAUCCGAGGAAUGGCUGAGAAGACUGGGGGACUUUAGCUUAGGAGAUUUAGGGAAAGGUUUAGGAGUUUCAUGAGAACUGCAUUUAAAUCCUGUUGUUUGGGCAGCUGACACAUCAAAAAGAAAUUAGACUUAUUUUACUUCUAUUCCAAAAAAUAUCCAAGCACAAAUGGAAAUGACAAAAACAACAUUCACCUCAAUAUUUGAAAGAGCUUGUGAACAAUAAGGUUUCCUUUAACUGGGUCGAGGAGGGGAAUGAUAAUAAACAUUUCUCUGUGUUCCUCUGACUGUCAGGUACACUGCCUUCUUUAUGGAAUAGUCUGUCUUACAUCCAUUAUCCCUUGUACCCUUGUCAAGUAUUUUAAGGAUUCAGUGGGCCCUAGACUUUAAGGGAGACUGAGCUUUAUACAGUCCCAGAGUGUAAAUCAGGAUUGUUUAGAGCCAACUAUGGUAACCACUGCUUUUGUGGUUGAAGAGGUUAGGAAAGUGCAUACAAUACAAUUCCUGCCAAUGAAGCAGGAGAGGGAGGUCUUUGGAAAAGUUUUCCUUACCUCCUCAAAAGAUAAAUGGGGAAAAAGAGAGCUCUCCAUUCCUCUUCCAGCUAUAAGACGUCAAGCCAAUAUCUGAGGAAGGUAGAACAAGAAGACAGAAAGGGUCUGGAUCCUUGAUGAAAUGGACUACCUGAUAAAAUACAUGACCCUGGAAUCAUUGUAAACUAUGGCAGUUUAUUAUAUAUUUGUGCAAUAUAUUAAAAUACACUCGGGAGUUCCCAUCGUGGCUCAGUGGUUAACAAAUCUAACUAGGAACCAUGAGGUUGUGGGUUCGAUCCCUGGCCUUGCUCAUGGGUUAAGGAUCCGGCAUUGCCAUGAGCUGUGGUGUAGGCUACAGAUGCAGCUCGGAUCUGGCAUUGCUAUGGCUGUGGCGUAGGCCAGCGGCUGUAGCUCCAAUUAGACCCCUAGCCUAGGAACCUCCAUAUGCCAUGGGUACAACCUUAAAAGACCAAAAAAAAAAAGGCAAAAAAAAAAAAAA
rnacentral:lncRNA from 1 species